GACGAACGCUGGCGGCGUGCUUAACACAUGCAAGUCGAACGGAAAGGCCCCUUUGGGGGUCCUCGAGUGGCGAACGGGUGAGUAACACGUGAGUAACCUGCCCUUGACUUCGGGAUAACUUCAGGAAACUGGGGCUAAUACCGGAUAGGAAUCCUUGCUGCAUGGUGGGGGUUGGAAAGCUUCGGCGGUUUUGGAUGGACUCGCGGCUUAUCAGCUUGUUGGUGGGGUAGUGGCUUACCAAGGCUUUGACGGGUAGCCGGCCUGAGAGGGCGACCGGCCACAUUGGGACUGAGAUACGGCCCAGACUCCUACGAGAGGCAGCAGUGGGGAAUAUUGCACAAUGGGCGGAAGCCUGAUGCAGCAACGCCGCGUGCGGGAUGACGGCCUUCGGGUUGUAAACCGCUUUCAGCAGGGGCGAAGCUUGUGGUGACGGUACCUGCAGAAGAAGCACCGGCUAACUACGUG
rnacentral:rRNA from 1 species